GCUGGUAUGGUGGAAUAGGCAGACACAAAGGACUUAAAAUCCUUCGGGAGCGAUCCCGUGCCGGUUCAAGUCCGGCUACCAGCA
rnacentral:tRNA from 1 species